CUUAGUACCCGGAGGAAGAGAAAGAAAAUUCGAUUCCCUUAGUAGCGGCGAGCGAAACGGGAAGAGCCCAAACCAACAAGCUUGCUUGUUGGGGUUGUAGGACACUCUAUACGGAGUUACAAAGGACGACAUUAGACGAAUCAUCUGGAAAGAUGAAUCAAAGAAGGUAAUAAUCCUGUAGUCGAAAAUGUUGUCUCUCUUGAGUGGAUCCUGAGUACGACGGAGCACGUGAAAUUCCGUCGGA
rnacentral:rRNA from 1 species